AACGGCCGUACCAUGCUGAAUAUACCGGUUCUCGUUAGAUCACCGAAGUUAAGCAUCAUUGGGCGCGGUCAGUACUUGCCCGGUGGGUGACCACCUGGGAACACUGCGUGCCGUU
rnacentral:rRNA from 1 species